CCUACGGGUGGCAGCAGUGGGGAAUAUUGCGCAAUGGGCGAAAGCCUGACGCAGCGACGCCGCGUGAGGGAUGAAGGUCUUCGGAUCGUAAACCUCUGUUAGUAGGGAAGAACGGGCACUGUCCUAACCAGCAGUGCAUUGACGGUAUCUACAAAGGAAGCCCCGGCUAACUCCGUGCCAGCAGCCGCGGUAAUACGUAGGGUGCGUGCGUUGAUCGGAUUUAUUGGGCGUAAAGCGAGCGUAGGCGGUAUGUUAAGUCUGAGGUGAAAUCCCCGCGCUCAACGGGGGAAGUGCCUUUGAAACUGGCAGACUGGAGUGUGUGAGAGGAUAGUGGAAUUCCAGGUGUAGCGGUGAAAUGCGUAGAUAUCUGGAGGAACAUCAGUGGCGAAGGCGGCUAUCUGGCACGUAACUGACGCUGAGGCGCGAAAGCGUGGGUAGCAAACAGGAUUAGAUACCCCUGUAGUA
rnacentral:rRNA from 1 species